CAUAAACAGCGACAGGGAAGCGAAGGCCAGAGAGCUGAAGAGAAGUCGUGAUUUCCGUGAGGAGGGGGGCUCGCGAGGGGCGCUGAGACCGCGGACGAGGGGAACUGAUGUCAAGGUCUUUUUUCCUCCUUAUCGAGCGACUGCUGAAAAACUUUCUCCACUCCUCGAGUGAAAGAAAAAACCCGAAGAGAAGAGAAGAGAAGAGAAGAGAAGAGAAGAGAAGAGAAGAGAAGAGAAGAGAAGAGAAGAGAAGAGAAGAGAAGAGAAGAGAAGAGAAGAGAAGAGAAGAGAAGAGGAAUCGAUCGCCUCGCACGCGUUCCAGAGCUCGCGUUUCACCGGAGGAGGAAAGUGCUUCUGUUAUUUGGAGCCUCCCUAUUGGACAGAGGAUGUCCUGUUUUCACUGGAUCAUCGAGAGCUCACUUCCUGUAUAACCAUUAAGACACGUCAAGACGAGAGACCAGUGCUUGCAACCAUUUCCCAUUGUUGUUGUUGCUUCCGUACUCUGUUCCUGGUUUCUGUAUUAGUAUGUUUUCUGCCUUGAAUGUGAAGCAUGUGAACUAUAAUCUUGCUAUACACAUUGUAUUUUGUACAUAAUGCAUUUUCCCACAAAUCACUAGGUAGGGAUUACAACAGCAUUUCUUCUUUUACUUAUAUUUCUUUUAAUCAAAUAUUUACAGGUGCUGCAUAUAAAUCACACCAUUCUCAUCCAUUUAAAGGAAAUUAUAUAAAAGACAGGAAAUAAUGAGCAGAAAGAUUGCAUAACAGGAACAGGAAAGUGUGCAAGCCAGAUUCAAACUCUUAUCUCCUACAUGAUCACCAUACUUUAAAAGUGUUUAAUUUGGUAAAAAAUCUGCUCAAUUAAAAGGAUUUAUUCAAGACCAAAAUAUUAUUUAAGAAUCAACGGAAGUAAUUUUUAACAAUCAAGUCAUGUAGAAAUAACGCUUGUGGUCAUAAUUGGAAUUAGUUUACUAUACUGUAACUACUGUAUAUUGAAAAAAGAUUAUAUUACACAUGAAUCCUCACCACAUAAUAUUGCACAGUAUAAAAAUUAUAAAUAUUCAUUUUGAAAAAUAUAAAAUAAAAUAAAAUAAAAUAAAAUAAAAUAAAAUAAAAUA